UCUAAACAUUUUUACGGCUGUAUACUUCUGAGCUGAGGUUGUGCUGUGUAAUUCUGAGCCAGGAUUUUCUCAAACUGUUUCUCAUUUCUUAUACCGGACACCCCUAAAUUCCAAGGGGAAUGGGAUGUUAAGGAAGCCAUGGAGUUUAGGAAAAAGAUACAGAUUUCAUUUCCAUUUAAGCUUCGAUGUAUCUCCAUCCUAGGCAGUAUCGGUUCUGUGGUAUUGAUAGGGGAACUAAAUAGCAACCAAAUUUAUAGAAAAUAGUGGGUCAUUGGGUACACAAGUUCUUCUUUUCAACAUUUUUGUAAUGUUUGCAGUUUAAGAUGACCAUUCCUGAGAAACAGGCAGCCUCUUAGAAUGAAAUAGCAUUUUCCCUGAACCAUACUCAAUUUUUAUUUCGUAGACAGCAGGAAGGGCAAUCACACAUCCAACACUUGGGGACCUCGAAGAUAAAAUGUAACUUUCUGAGAGUACACUCCCCCAGUCUCCCCUUGCUCUUUUCACUGUCCCAUUGUCCCUGAAGGCUCUUUUGUAUCUUCUGCUCAUGACUCCAGUAACUCUUCCUCCUCGUUCCUCAGCUGGUAAGUUUACUUUUCUACUUUGACCAGGCAAACUGAAGCCAACAGAAGAGAACUUUCACCAGCAACUCCCAGCACAUCCGCUCUCCUUCUGAUGUCUGUGACCUCACUCUCGCUGCCCCACCUCUUAUUAGAGAUUGAACAGGAUCCAGGGGGAAGUACCAACACUGUCCCAUCGGCCAUCCUGUGUGUCAUGUCCUGUGACCCAGUGAAUACUCAGCACCCUCCAGCUGAAGAAACAGAUCGCCUUAGAUACAUGAAAGGUGAAGACACCUACUAUCCCCAUGGAGCCCAGGUGGGGCUGUGAGUCUGCUCUUUGUACAGCCGGUGGGCUCGUGUUGCUUUGGGCAUCCCUGUGCCUGAAUUCCUGCAGUACACUCGGUGCCUGUUUCCUAAUCUGCAAAAUUGGAAUGAUGUUAACCAUCCCGCAGGUUCGUUGAUGGGCUGGGACACACUAGACAGCCAGGAGCUGGAAUUCCUCUGU